rnacentral:misc_RNA from 1 species
CCGAGUAUGCCCUUCUGGGCGGACCUCAACCCACUGUAUACUACUUUUUGUUGCUUUGGCGGGCCCGCGCAAGCUACUGGCUUCGGCUGGUAAGUGCCCGCCAGAGGAAACUAAACCCUAACAAUUUUUGUUUUGUCUGAAAAAAAGUAAAUAUUUA